AUAUGAAGUUGAUGUGGACCUGUAACUUCCAGUUCAGGAGUGGUGAUAUAUGCAAACUAACUACAGUAAAGCUGAAAUACUUUAUUGUUUAUUUUCCUUCAAGAAACCAUUCCACAAUGCCAAACCUUGCAACCAUAUUCUAGUAGUGACAACUUUAAUAAUAUUACUGAAACCAGCCCUCAGCCUAAUUAUUUCCUACUUUUGUCAGAGGAAGCUUUCAUCAACCAGUAUAUAAGAAGGAAACACCACAAUACUGUAUAAGCACCAGCAAGUCUUUGAAGGAAAUGAAUGGUAUAUUACAUAAAGGAAGAAAAGAUUCUUUCUGAUAAAACAGUUGAGAGACUUUAAUGUUCUUUAUCUCUUUCCAUACCAGAAACCAGACCUGCAAUGAAGGACUAGAUGUGAUUACACAGACUACUAGUACCAAACCAUAGUGCGAUCAUAAUACAGCCCUUGCUCAUGACAGCAUCCUUUUGAAUCACACCAGACCCAAGUACAGUGCUGUAUUUAAAAGACUGAGUAGAUUUACUCUUAGCUACAAUAAUAUUUAUAGCAUUUUCAUCUCUGCUUCCGAUUGCAUGCUACUGGGGCUUUCUUUAAAAACAGAGAAAUAAAAAUUGAGUACAAAGAGGUGCGUUAUUUUGAGAGAAGUUAUUUGAAAAUGUUGGUUUGGGGUCUAUGAAAAGUAAGAGCUGAAGUCUUAGUGACCCUAGUCACUGCACUCCUGAAAUAAAAAAUAAUAAUAAUAAAAAGAAAAUGACCGACAAGAGAGACAUCCUUUCAGAACAUAAAUCCUGCUAUGCCCCUCUUGCACCAACCCUGCAAAUUCUUGUGGUACAGUGACAGUUCCUUUCUUGUCUGAAGCAAAACCUGAACUGAAAGCUUCAAUAUCCAAAAGCACAGAUCAUUGUUCUUUGAAAUGAAAGGUCAAGUUAACAAGGCAAGAUCUACACAUCCCUCUGUGGACUGGCAAAGAAAUAAAAGCUGAA
rnacentral:lncRNA from 1 species